CAUGCAAGUCGAACGGUGAAGGAGAAGCUUGCUUCUUUGGAUCAGUGGCGAACGGGUGAGUAACACGUGAGUAACCUGCCCCAGACUCUGGGAUAAGCACUGGAAACGGUGUCUAAUACCGGAUACGAGCUUCAGCCGCAUGGCUAGGAGCUGGAAAGAAUUUCGGUCUGGGAUGGACUCGCGGCCUAUCAGCUAGUUGGUGAGGUAAUGGCUCACCAAGGCGACGACGGGUAGCCGGCCUGAGAGGGUGACCGGCCACACUGGGACUGAGACACGGCCCAGACUCCUACGGGAGGCAGCAGUGGGGAAUAUUGCACAAUGGGCGCAAGCCUGAUGCAGCAACGCCGCGUGAGGGACGACGGCCUUCGGGUUGUAAACCUCUUUUAGUAGGGAAGAAGCGAAAGUGACGGUACCUGCAGAAAAAGCACCGGCUAACUACGUGCCAGCAGCCGCGGUAAUACGUAGGGUGCAAGCGUUAUCCGGAAUUAUUGGGCGUAAAGAGCUCGUAGGCGGUUUGUCGCGUCUGCUGUGAAAACUGGAGGCUCAACCUCCAGCCUGCAGUGGGUACGGGCAGACUAGAGUGCGGUAGGGGAGAUUGGAAUUCCUGGUGUAGCGGUGGAAUGCGCAGAUAUCAGGAGGAACACCGAUGGCGAAGGCAGAUCUCUGGGCCGUAACUGACGCUGAGGAGCGAAAGCAUGGGGAGCGAACAGGAUUAGAUACCCUGGUAGUCCAUGCCGUAAACGUUGGGAACUAGAUGUAGGGGCCAUUCCACGGCUUCUGUGUCGCAGCUAACGCAUUAAGUUCCCCGCCUGGGGAGUACGGCCGCAAGGCUAAAACUCAAAGGAAUUGACGGGGGCCCGCACAAGCGGCGGAGCAUGCGGAUUAAUUCGAUGCAACGCGAAGAACCUUACCAAGGCUUGACAUAUACGAGAACGGGCUAGAAAUAGUCAACUCUUUGGACACUCGUAAACAGGUGGUGCAUGGUUGUCGUCAGCUCGUGUCGUGAGAUGUUGGGUUAAGUCCCGCAACGAGCGC
rnacentral:rRNA from 1 species